rnacentral:rRNA from 1 species
UACGUAGGGGGCAAGCGUUGUCCGGAAUCAUUGGGCGUAAAGAGCGCGUAGGCGGCCCAGCAAGUCCGCUCUGAAAGUCAGGGGCUCAACCCCUGAAUGCGGGUGGAUACUGCUGGGCUAGAGUCCGGAAGAGGCGAGUGGAAUUCCUGGUGUAGGGGUGAAAUGCGCAGAUAUCAGGAGGAACACCAAUGGCGAAGGCAGCUCGCUGGGACGGUACUGACGCUGAGGCGCGAAAGCGUGGGGAGCAAACAGG